GCUGGGAGUGGUGGUGCAAGCCUAUAAUCCCAGUAACUAGGGAGGCUGAGGCAGGAGGAUCAUAAGGCCAGUCACAGGCAAAUUAGUGAGAACUUGUCUCAA
rnacentral:sRNA from 1 species